rnacentral:misc_RNA from 1 species
AGUGGAGCAAGAAGUGGGCUCUUCCACCUAUGCUUUUUUUGGCUUUAAUGGGACAGCCGGUGUUUGGAGAAUCGCCGCAUUGGAGGAGGCUGGAGGUUGGAAGGAUAGGACAACAGUCGAGGAUAUGGACCUGGCCGUCCGCGCUAGUCUCAAGGGCUGGAAAUUCUUGUACCUUUCUGCUCUCAAGGUGAAAAAUGAAUUACCA